rnacentral:rRNA from 1 species
CAGCCGCCGCGGUAAUACGAAGGGUGCAAGCGUUAAUCGGAAUUACUGGGCGUAAAGCGUGCGUAGGCGGUGAGUUAAGUCUGCUGUGAAAUCCCCGGGCUCAACCUGGGAAUGGCAAUGGAUACUGGCAAGCUAGAGUGUGUCAGAGGAUGGUGGAAUUCCCGGUGUAGCGGUGAAAUGCGUAGAGAUCGGGAGGAACAUCAGUGGCGAAGGCGGCCAUCUGGGACAACACUGACGCUGAGGCACGAAAGCGUGGGGAGCAAACAGGAUUAGAUACCCCUGUAGUCCCUGUCUCUUAUAC